AAUGCAGGAGUUGUUAGUGUAAGUUCUUUCCUGUUAGAAACUGAAAGUAAAUUCGACAGCUGGCUUCAGCCCACAGGGUUUUCGACUUGCAAGGCAGCAGGAGAAAUGAUUGAUAUGGGACCAGACCAGUCCUCUUCAGGAUUGUGAGGCCUCCUCUCUGAGAGUUAUAAUGAGUUAUCAUCAGAUUGAUAUGGGACCAGACCAGUCCUCUUCAGCAUUGUGAGGUCUCCUCUCUGAGAGUUAUAAUGAGUUAUCAUCAGGGGGUUGAGGGUGGAGCCAUCCAUAAAGAAAGAUGUAAGGAUGGGUCACCAUACAAGGAUCUUGAUGAGACCAUGGACCCUGAUAUGAGGUCUUGUACUACUAGGGGCCCUCCAGAGAGAGCAGAGUCUAUUUCCUCUGGUUUUCUAUCUAUGAAGAGUGACCGAUCCAUGGAUUUCCCUCUUCAUUUCAAAGGAGCAGACUCUCUACGAAACAAAGGGCCAGGAGCGGUACCCUGUGAUAUCUGCUCUGAGGUCCAAGCUGUGAAGUUCUGUCAGACCUGCAGUGUGUCCUACUGUGAGACCCACAUCAGACAACACUAUACAAUAGCAGCACUGCAGAGACACACACUGGUGGAUGUGACUGGAGACCUGGGGCGGAAACUCUGUCAACAUGACUACAGUCCUCUGGAGGUGUUCUGCAGGACAGACCAGAUGAUGAUCUGUAGUCAGUGUGCAGAGACAAACCACAAAGGACAUGAUAUGAUCUCCCAAGCUGGAAGACAGCAUAAGAGUUAUGAUGGCGACCAACAGACAAUGCUGGCCUCAGAUGAUGUGCUGCCCCCUCCUGGUGACUUCCAGGUCCUGUUGCUGACAUCAGACUCCGUGUCUCUGAGCUGGAGUUCUCCUCAGGGGGUUAAAGGACCCCACAAGUUCAGGGUCAUCUGGGAUUGUGACGGGGAAACAAGCUCAACAAGAGUGAAAGGCGGGUAUCAUCUUAAAAUAAGCAGUCUCCAACCUGGUGAAAAGUACCAGUUCAACAUGGCUACAGAGGGAGAAGAUGGAAGACAAAGCAGAUGGAUCUCAGCAUCUGUAUUCACAGUGGUUCCACCCAGAGACUUAAAGGUAGACAAUUUGAAAUAUACCUCCUUCACUCUCCACUGGUCCAAGGCUGAAGGAAUGGAGAAAGUUCCACAACGCUUCCUCAUAUCCUACUGCAUCCCAGGAGCAGAUAUCCAUGCAGAGAAUACUAAAGACUGCCACAAAGCCUUCUCAAACCUGCAACCUGGUACUGAGUACACUGUCAGCAUCUCAACUGUGCUGAACAAUGGGGAAGAGAGUGAACCUGUCUCUACAACCAUCUGCACUAUACUUCCUGCUCCAGACCAGCUGACUGUUGACUCAGUGGACACCACAUCAGCUGCUGUCAGCUGGAGCCAGCCACCAGGACUGGACAAAACCCGACAUCAUUACCAGAUCUCCUACCACUGUCCAGGGACAGAACCACACAUCACUACCACAUCUUCACACAGCAUCACUCUCUCUGACCUGCAAUGUGGUCCUCAGUACUCUGUCACUGUCUGCACUGUGCUGGAAAAUGGAAAGCAAAGUCAACUGGUGUCAACAACUUUGACUACAAGAUCCUGUCUCAUGGAUCUGUUGUCAAAGACUGGACUAGAAGAUCAUUAUGAAAACAAGCUGAUGUUAAGUACUGUCCUUGAGAUAAAUGCUGAUACUACAUCAGAUGAACCUCUUACCACCAUGCAGUCACUUCCAGGGGCCUUCCUGAAGAAAUUAAUGAUGGCAAAUGUGAAUGCUAGGAGUGUUAAAUGUCUGACCACUGACCAGGAGGUUUCCUAUUGUGGUGUAGACAACCUGGACACUGACCAGGAGGUUUCCUAUUGUGGAGUAGACAACCUGGACACUGCCACUGAUAGCAGCGAUGUCAUUAAUCCACUGGACCUGAUAACUGCCCUGUUUCUGUGCUCAGAUGGUUUCCUGCAGCAGGAGAUGGUCCAGAAAAUGUCCAUGUGUCAGUUUGCUGUUCCUCUCCUGCUGCCCAACUGUGACACAAAACAAAGUACUUUGAUGCUGUGGGCCUUAAGGGACAUAGUGAGGAAGUUCAGACCCUCUUCCCAAAUGGCCACAAAGGCUUUUGUGGAGGAGAGAAUAGUUCUCUCUGAUAUUCCUAUGGUGUCCUUUGUUAGGUUAGGAGAGAGCAGCUUGUCCAAGUCUCAGAUUUUGAACAAGUUACUUAGUAACCCUCAGCAGUACCAUGACACAUUUGUUCAUCAUGAUAUGGAAUGUGGUGACAUCCCUCAUAGAAUCUCAGAUGGUCUGGUUGAAAUCAGCUGGUACCUUCCAUGUGGGAACAGAAACAUAGACAUCUUCACUAAGCCUGUGGCUGUUGCCAAUCUCAGAGGAGACAUCAGGUCCUUUGAAAAACAGUUCUCCUUUCUGUGUCAAACAUCAGAUGCAGUUUACAUUUUCACUGAUGAUUUUGAGGCAGAUCUCAAGGUUUUGGAAGGAAAAAUCACAAAAGCAGAGUUAUUUCUGGUUGUCAACUCUCAGAAAAAAACAUUCAGGGUGGACACAUUGAAGAAAAUGAUCACAAACUACAGUAUCAACCCAACAAAUGUGAUUGUGAAGAAGACGCAGAAUGAUUCAGAAUUUGUCAAAACCCUGCAGUCCUCUGUAGGUGACAUCAUCGAAAAAAGUAAAAACAGAUUGACAAUUGAAAACAUGGCUGAUGUGGCUCAUCAGUUUGGGAUUCGGGUUGAUGAAGACAGUGAUGAGUGUCAGAGUGCCAGGAAGAUGGCAGAUGAAAUCACCAGCAACAUCACAGACACAAUUAAAUUCAAAGACAAACAGCUACCCUUACAAGGAACAAUCUGGAAAGAGCUUUCCCAGUUGGAGAAAGAGAGAUGUAGACUGAGAAAAGCAGGUGAUCAAGACAUUGAACACUACAAGAGCUCUCUGAAGAAAGAGGAGGAAGAGCUGAGAAAGAAACAAUAUAAAUGUGACAUGUCAGAUGCAAUGGUAAGCUUCAUUUUAGGAUUGUCAGGUUCAGGAGCGGAGCGUUCCUAUUUCCUCAAAUGGAUGCGGAUAAAUCUGGACAAUCUGUCACCAAAGAACCUGUCUGCUUUGCGGGACCAGUACAAAGCUCUUUGCCAAUAUUCUCCAGAGAAAAAAGGCGACAUUAAAGAUUUGGAUAAGCAAUUAUCUGACUGUUCCUUGGGACUUGAACACUUCCUGCGUGAGUUGGGCCAGUUAUAUGAAGCUGCCUGCUCCCUCCCUGAAGACAGUCCUCAAAGGGAACAGAUGGAGCAUCUCCCUGGAUUGUGUGCUCAGAUGCUGUUGGAUGGUUUCCCCAUUGAGCUUGUGGAUGGAGAUGCAUCAAAUAUCCCUCUAAAAUGGAUAUCAGCUGUUCUGACUCAGCUUCAUACUCUUGUGGACUCUAACAGCAAGAUCCGUGUUGUGACAGUUUUGGGGGUUCAAAGUACAGGGAAGUCCACUGUCCUCAACACCAUGUUUGGGGUCCAGUUUGCUGUCAGCAGUGGAAGAUUCACCAGAGGGACCUUCAUGCUGCUGAUUAAAGUAAACAAAGACCUCAAGGAGGAGCUGAAAUGUGACUUCAUCAUGGUGAUUGACACAGAGGGGUUGAAAUCACCAGAGUUGGCUCAACUAGAUGAUAGUCAUGAACAUGACAAUGAACUGGCCACACUGGUGAUAGGACUCAGUGAUGUCACUAUCAUCAACAUGUCCAUGGAGAACUCCACAGAGAUGAAAGACAUUCUGCAGAUUGCUGUUCAUGCUUUUAUCAGGAUGAAGGAAGUGGGGAAGAAGCCGAUAUGUCAUUUUGUGCACCAGAAUGUGUCAGACAUGUCUGCUCAUGACAACAACAUGAGGGACAGAAAGAAGUUGUUGGAACAGUUGAAUGAAAUGACCCAGGCAGCAGCCAGAAUGGAGAAGAAGGAGAAUAUCACCAAGUUCACUGAUGUGAUGGAGUAUGAUCCAGACACAAGCAGCUGCUACAUCCCAGGACUCUGGCAUGGGACUCCCCCUAUGGCUCCAGUCAAUGCUGGAUACAGUGAGGCUGUGUACAGCUUCAAGAAGACAUUGAUGAAAAAUUUCAGAAAAUGCCAAAGAAAUGAUGAUUUGACACAUUUCAUGAAGUGGACACAAAGCUUGUGGGAGGCAGUGAAAUUUGAGAACUUCAUCUUCAGUUUCAGAAACAGCUUGGUUGCAGAUGCAUACUCCAGAUUAUGCUCUGAGUACAAUGGUUGGGAAUGGAACUUCCAGAAAGAGAUGUAUUCCUGGAUGGUGGGUGCUGAAACGAAAAUAUCCAAUAUUGUCAUGACAGAUCAACAUCCCCAGAGGUCCAUAAGAGAUGUGCUAAAUGACUUGAUGAUAGAAGCAUCUAUGAAGAUGUCAUUGGGAGAAAAGGAAAUCCAAGACAAUCUAGUAAAAUACUUUGAAAAGCAAGAUGGCCAUGUUAGUCUGGUGGAAAAAUACAGGGAAGGCUUUAUGUACAGUGCCAAAACACUGAGACGAGAGACACAAAACACAGUGAAGAACAAACUGCUAGGAGCUGUUGAGAUCAAAGAGGGGAUGACAGAACUGAACAACAUCAAGAGUUCUCAGGCAAAUACAAUGGAAAAGAAGGUUCUGACUCUGCUGCAGAUCUGUAGAAAGAAAGAAUCUGUUCUAUCAGAUGAGGCCCUCAGUGAAGAGUUUGAAAACAUGUGGAAGGAAACUCUGUCUGAGAUACACUUCAAAGGACUCCCAAGAAGAGAUGUGGCUCAUGAUGCCUUCCUUAUGUUAAAUGGAAAUCUAUCAACAAGGGGUGGGCACGUCAAUAGCAUGGUGGUUGGAAACAAUCUGGUGGAUUGUGGUAAAAAAGAAUUUUCUGUGGAAUCUGGGGGUUUAGUGGAGAAAUGUGGGGGCCUUUUCAAGCACUGGGACAUCAACCAUUACAGGAAGAAACUUCAAGAGUUGUGUGAUGACAUCAUAACACAGUGUCAGUUGUUUAUAACACAGAAGGUGGAAAGCAAAACAGAUUACCAUGAUACUUACAUCAAAGAGCUGCUGAACAACAUUGAUGAAACAUUGCAACAACACAAGAAUGUAAAAGUCAGUGAGGAAUGUGAGGUUUCUCUGAAGCUACACAUCUGUGGCAGAGCAGCCAGAGAGUUUCAGAAGACGCAUGAUGAUUUCAUUGAAGUCAAUGACCCACGGAAGUGUCUGGAACAGUCUAAGAACAAGUACCGUACACUCUUCAUAGACUUAUUUCAUAACUGAGACCAGUGCCUUUAAGAAAGCUGAGGACUUCACAAAGCUCUGUCUACAGCCAGCUGUACACGACUAUGUGACCAAAAUGAUAUGUCCUGAUGUGGUUGAUGAAGUGAAGACAGGUAAAGGGUCAGAGGAUUACAGCACCCGAGGGGCUUUCAAGUUCUCCAUUUUGAAACAACUCCUGACAGAUGGAGAAUAUGAGAAAUGUAAAGGGAACAUGAUCUCCCAGAGGACUGGAAGGCAUUAACAACUCAUGAUGUAAUGAAGAGCUUGAAAGAGCAUUUCAACAUGAAAUAAAGUGGAGUUUUACUGGAUAUAAUGACUGUUGUUUACCAACAUGUUACCAUAUAACUGAACAUUCAAAGACUUGACAACCAGAAAUAACUCUCAUGACAUGAAUAUAUCACAGAUUCAAAAUAUAAGGAGCCAGUCACCCAGAGUUGUUGAAAUAAUGUGCAGAUCUGGAAAUACACAACUGGAUCACAGAAAGUCAUAUUUACAAAUACAUUCAUAAACUAUAUGACCUGUUAGCAAUUUACAGAUCUGAUGUUCCAUAAUGAAAGAGCUAACAUGUUGAGUUGUAUGUGAAAGGAACACAAUAUUAUAAUCUAAGUACAUCUAUACAACUCAUGAUGUAGUAAGAAAAUCAUUAUUAAUAAAUGUAGUAAUCAAACAAAUGGAAGAAAAGUAAAUGUGAACACCAAUGUGUUAACCAACAGAUUGAGCCUUUUGACCUUAUUAAUACAAUACACAGGUAACUAAGGAGCUAGUCUAGAUAAACACAAUACACAGGUAACUAAGGAGCUAGUCUAGAUAAACACAAUACACAGGUAACUAAGGAGCUAGUCUAGAUAAACACAAUACACAGGUAACUAAGGAACUAGUCUAGAUAAACACAAUACACAGGUAACUAAGGAGCUAGUCUAGAUAAACACAAUACACAGGUAACUAAGGAACUAGUCUAGAUAAACACAAUACACAGGUAACUAAGGAACUAGUCUAGAUAAACACAAUACACAGGUAACUAAGGAACUAGUCUAGAUAAACACAAUACACAGGUAACUAAGGAGCUAGUCUAGAUAAACACAAUACACAGGUAACUAAGGAACUAGUCUAGAUAAACACAAUACACAGGUAACUAAGGAACUAGUCUAGAUAAACACAAUACACAGGUAACUAAGGAACUAGUCUAGAUAAACACAUUACACAGGUAACUAAGGAACUAGUCUAGAUAAACACAAUACACAGGUAACUAAGGAACUAGUCUAGAUAAACACAAUACACAGGUAACUAAGGAACUAGUCUAGAUAAACACAAUACACAGAUAACUAAGGAGCUAGUCUAGAUAAACACAAUACACAGGUAACUAAGGAGCUAGUCUAGAUAAACACAUUACACAGGUAACUAAUUAACUAGUCUGACAUUGUUUGUUUAUUUUCAAUUCUAAUAAUUAUAUUUCUCUCAUGUACUUUUCCAUCUGUCCUACAGUAGGGCUUGAUAUGCCUUAAUCACAGAUUAUGAAGGAUCAUCAUUUAGUGGUUGACUUGCCCUUUGUUUUUAUUUGUUAUUUGACCUUUUCAUCUUAAUGUAAUUUUUUAUGUAGAGAAUAAUUUGUUGUUUCAUAUACAGGUAUUACACAUGUAUUGGUCUCUUAAAUAAUUUACUUCAAGAAUGAUUACUACGUAGACUUUAAAUCUGUUUUUAAUUGAUCACACCUUCUAAUAGUGAUUUGUUCAAUGACUUCAUUGCUUUGAAGACAUUAGUUUGGAUACAGUGUAAUUCCUAAUCAGUGAAAAUCAGUAAUGCAACUUCAUUAAAACUCUUCAUGGAU